GUGGGAAUGAUGAGUACUUUCAUGUCUCUUCUCUGACUGACACUGGAGAGAAUGUUGUGAUAUCUGACUUCUGCUCACCCAU
rnacentral:snoRNA from 1 species